UCCGAGCUUUGAACGUGGGAACGAGG
rnacentral:piRNA from 1 species